AUGGAUAUGCUGAAAUUUGGUAACCAGGUUCCACUUAGGAUGGAAUAGUUUUUACUACUGCAAGUUCAAGUCUUGUUAUCCAUA
rfam:Paracoccidioides brasiliensis strain Pb18 mitochondrion, complete genome.